UACAGAGGGUGCGAGCGUUAAUCGGAAUUACUGGGCGUAAAGCGCGCGUAGGCGGCUUUGCAAGUCGGGUGUGAAAUCCCCAGGCUUAACCUGGGAACUGCAUUCGAGACUGCAUUGCUAGAGUAUGGGAGAGGGAAGUGGAAUUUCCGGUGUAGCGGUGAAAUGCGUAGAUAUCGGAAGGAACAUCAGUGGCGAAAGCGACUUCCUGGACCAAUACUGACGUCAUGUGCGGAAAGCGUGGGGAGCAAAACAGG
rnacentral:rRNA from 1 species